rnacentral:lncRNA from 1 species
GCUUCCUUCCUUAUUUGGAUCCUUCUUUUUUAUCUAGAUGUUGUAAUCUUCUUCUUUGAUCGGAUCCUCAUUUAGACCCUCUUUUCUUAUAUGGAUCCUGCUAAGAAUUCAAAUUUAAAAUUUAAAUGCAAACCAAAAAGCAAAAAUGAUCUGAGAAUUGAGGGAUUCUCAUAAUCUUCUUUAUUUAGAAGUUGUGAUCUCCUUC